rnacentral:rRNA from 1 species
CCUACGGGAGGCAGCAGUGGGGAAUCUUAGACAAUGGGGGAAACCCUGAUCUAGCCAUGCCGCGUGAUCGAUGAAGGCCUUAGGGUUGUAAAGAUCUUUCAGUGGGGAAGAUAAUGACUGUACCCACAGAAGAAGCCCCGGCUAACUCCGUGCCAGCAGCCGCGGUAAU